UCUCCUGUAGCUCAGUGGUAGAGCGUUCGACCGAAGUGCGUUAGGUCAUAGGUUCGAGUCCUGUUGGGAGAA